rfam:Aedes aegypti strain Liverpool supercont1.322 genomic scaffold, whole genome shotgun sequence.
UGCCCAGCAACUCCUAUCCCUACCUCCUCGUGGUACUGGCCGGGGUACGAGUAACCUUGGGGAAGAUCGGGUAACCAACCCCCGGUGGGAGCUUUGGUCGUAUGCUGACAGGGAAGG